rnacentral:rRNA from 1 species
UACGAAGGGUGCAAGCGUUGUUCGGAUUUAUUGGGCGUAAAGCGCGCGCAGGCGGCUUGCUAAGUCAGAUGUGAAAUCUCGGGGCUCAACCCCGAAACUGCGUCUGAAACUGGUGAGCUAGAGUCUCGGAGGGGAAAACGGAAUUUCGCAUGUAGGGGUAAAAUCCGUAGAGAUGCGAAGGAACACCAGAGCCGAAGGGGGUUUUCUGGACGAGUACUGACGCUGAGGCGCGAAAGCGUGGGGAGCAAACAGG